AUUGAACGCUGGCGGCAUGCCUUACACAUGCAAGUCGAACGGCAGCACGGGUGCUUGCACCUGGUGGCGAGUGGCGAACGGGUGAGUAAUACAUCGGAACAUGUCCUGUAGUGGGGGAUAGCCCGGCGAAAGCCGGAUUAAUACCGCAUACGAUCUACGGAUGAAAGCGAGGGACCUUCGGGCCUCGCGCUAUAGGGUUGGCCGAUGGCUGAUUAGCUAGUUGGUGGGGUAAAGGCCUACCAAGGCGACGAUCAGUAGCUGGUCUGAGAGGACGACCAGCCACACUGGGACUGAGACACGGCCCAGACUCCUACGGGAGGCAGCAGUGGGGAAUUUUGGACAAUGGGCGAAAGCCUGAUCCAGCAAUGCCGCGUGUGUGAAGAAGGCCUUCGGGUUGUAAAGCACUUUUGUCCGGAAAGAAAUCCUUGGCCCUAAUACGGUCGGGGGAUGACGGUACCGGAAGAAUAAGCACCGGCUAACUACGUG
rnacentral:rRNA from 1 species